rnacentral:rRNA from 1 species
AUCCUACGGGGGGCAGCAGUCGGGAAUAUUGCGCAAUGGAGGAAACUCUGACGCAGUGACGCCGCGUAUAGGAAGAAGGUUUUCGGAUUGUAAACUAUUGUCGUUAGGGAAGAUAAAAGACAGUACCUAAGGAGGAAGCUCCGGCUAACUACGUGCCAGCAGCCGCGGUAAUACGUAGGGAGCAAGCGUUAUCCGGAUUUACUGGGUGUAAAGGGAGCGUAGACGGUGUGGCAAGUCUGAAGUGAAAGCCCGGGGCUCAACCCCGGGACUGCUUUGGAAACUGUCAUGCUGGAGUGCUGGAGAGG